rnacentral:rRNA from 1 species
CCUACGGGAGGCAGCAGUGGGGAAUCUUGCGCAAUGGGCGAAAGCCUGACGCAGCCAUGCCGCGUGAAUGAUGAAGGUCUUAGGAUUGUAAAAUUCUUUCACCGGGGACGAUAAUGACGGUACCCGGAGAAGAAGCCCCGGCUAACUUCGUGCCAGCAGCCGCGGUAAUACGAAGGGGGCUAGCGUUGCUCGGAAUUACUGGGCGUAAAGGGCGCGUAGGCGGACAUUUAAGUCAGGGGUGAAAUCCCAGAGCUCAACUCUGGAACUGCCUUUGAUACUGGGUGUCUUGAGUGUGAGAGAGGUAUGUGGAACUACGAAUGUGGAGAAGAAAUUCGUAGAUAUUCGGAAGGACACCAGAGGCAAAGACGACAUACUGGCUCAAUACUGACGCUGAGGAGCGAAAGCUUGGGGAGCAAACAGAAUUAGAUACCCCAGUAGUC